AAUUACUUGUUCAAGAAAAUCAAAUAAAAUCGAGGUUUUCGAGUUUAUUAAAUGUAUUGUCUGUUAAAGUGCACUCAAAAUAGAUCAAACAUUGAAGUAUGUACCCUUUAUUGGUUUUAGUUAUAUUACAUAUGGCCAAUGGUGAGUUGAAGACAAAAACUCUUAGUAUUGAUGAAUUCAAAGACGUCAAUCCUCCUAUUCCUGAAUUACCCGAAAAAAGUGAAAGUGCAGACUACCAAUUAAGAAAUGGUUUGAUAAAUCCUAAUUAUCUAUGGAAAGACCGAAGAAUACCAUAUAUAAUUAACGGAUAUUUUACAGCCCGCCAGCUUAACAUGAUCGAUUUGGCAAUGGAUCAUUUCAGACACUUCACCUGCAUUAAAUUUGUACCGAGAACCAAUGAAGAUCAUUAUGUCCAAAUUAAUAAUUUUGUACCAGAAAAAUGUUUCUCUAAUGUUGGUAAGCAACCUCUGGCUAUUAAUGUUAUAAAUCUUAGUGAAGGUUGUUUUUAUGGAGUAGGCAUUGUGAUACAUGAACUGAUGCAUACUGUUGGAUUUUAUCACGAGCAAACUAGGUUCGACCGGGAUCAUUAUGUCACUAUUAAUUAUAAUAAUAUAGAACAAGGUACCGAAAAUAAUUUUCGUAGAAAACAUGGUGCAAUGUACAAUCUACCUUACGACUAUGAUUCAGUUAUGCAUUAUUCUCCUUAUACUUUUAGUAUACACGGAACGGGGGGAGGUCAACGCUUCAUGACUAUUGUUCCAAAAAACUUGAGUAUGAAUUGGCACCGAUUGGGACAAUAUGAGGGUUUCAGUAAGCUGGAUAUAACAAAAAUAAACAUCAUGUAUAAUUGCAAGCAAAAGACUGCUCAGUUGAAUCUUGAAGAUGGAUUAUAUUAUACCCUUCAAGAUUAUGCAAAGAGAAAAUAAUAAAAAACUUACUAUAUAAAUAUAGUUUUAAAAGUUAUGCAUCACCUAAAAUUAUGCUCAUUUCCAUCGUUGAUUUUUUAGUGAACAGAUGAACGGAUUCUGCUAUUUUUUUAUUAUCUUAGAUUUUUCUGUGGUAUUUACAAACUUUGGUAAAUGUCUACUCAAACUUCUGUACUGUACUGUACUCAAAACAAUGUGCAUGUGAGUAUACAUCGAAAUCGUACUAGUGUCUUAGGUUUUGUGAACAUUUUUUUUGAAUGUCCCUGAUAUCUUCUUUGUAUAUGUUCUUUGAAAAAAAAAUAUACAGUUUUAUUGUUUAACAUGUGUUUCAACUGAAACAAAAGUUUGAGACACCCUGUAGGGAGGAAAUGAUACAAAGGUGGUUUAUACAUCGAAAUAAUAUUGUAGUCUCAUUUUUGUGAACAUUUUAUUUUUUUUUUGUUUGUCUGAUUUCUUUAAUAAUAAAGAACCUAGACGGUUUAACUGUAUAUUAUGUAUUUUAACUGACUACAUGCGAUACGUGAAGAUUCCAUGUCGUAUUAAAGACUAAGAUGAACUUAUUUUCAUAUAUUAUAGUGUGAAAGGAACAAAUUGUUCAGAGAGAGA